GAGCAGCUGCCGGAGAUCGCCGAGGCCACCAGGGGCAAGGAAACCCUCGUCUUGCAGUGCGCCUUCGGCCAGGAUACAGUUGAUGAUGUAGUUGGAGAUGGAUGGUUCUUACUAAGAUACAUCUGUAUAUGUAUGUGGUUUUGCUUCGGUUGAAGAUAUAUGUGUGCCUUAAAGACAUAUCAGAAGUCAAAUUUCUAGGUAAAAUCUGAUCAAGACUACUAGACGAUCCAAGUGGAAAACUAUUUCACUUUCAGCUUGUAUAUGAUGUCUGACCACGGAAGGUUAGAUGGUAAUAUUGAAUUCAAAAAGAUGGAUGCCAACUAUUUAAAACACGCCUCUCACAAAAAAGUAUAAAUGGAUUGGUAACUUGAGUCAUGGGAUUGGUGAGAUUAGUUCGCAAUCUCUUGAAUUGGGUGAAUUUCAUCACAAGAAAGAAGAAGGAAAUUGGUAAUAGUAAAUUGGAUGUUGUACGAUUUCUUACCUGGCAUCCUUUUGUUCUGGUUUGUGACUUUUGGAGCUGUUGAAUGGCCUUUGUUGUAAGUGAAUGUCUUGAUUAGUAAACUUAGGUGUAUUGCUUAGGUAGGGUGAACAUUAUGUACUUGUUUCCUUCCACUGCUUGUUUUUCCCUUCUUUUUCUCACAGUGGUUUGCUGGUGCUCCUCACUAGCUUGCAGGCAUUGACUCCGUCGCUGCCUAUUCGGCGGAUUGAGGCACCCAUUCAUCACAUGCGAGCUUUGAGAUUAUUUGAUGCAUCGACCAUAGUAUCUGGUUCCACUGACAACUCGUUCAAGCUUUGGGACUUGUCUAUGAAUCAAGCAAGAGUAAUUGACAAUCCAAUUCAGACUUCUACAGGGCAUAUAAAUACAAAGAUUGCAGAUUAUUGACAGAUAUUUCUGUGUACUGUCUGCCCAGACACUUCCGAAAGUAGAAGAGAAAUGGCGAAGAACUCCCUCGAGAGAUGUACGCAUUAUUAUGAAUGAUGGGCAGCUAAUCGGCGGAGUUUGGUGUUCUUUGCGACAGUGGCAUUGCUGGUGGCUGUAGAGAAAGCUCUCUUAUAUACAUGUGCACUGUCCGUUAUGCAUUUCUGUAAUGUUGUCUUAUUUUCCC